rnacentral:rRNA from 1 species
GAGAGAGACAUGCGCGCAUAUCAAUAAGCGGAGGAAAAGAAACUAACUAGGAUUCCCUCAGUAACGGCGAGUGAAGCGGGAAGAGCUCAAAUUUGAAAUCUUAAAGGGUUUCCCUUGACGAAUUGUAGUUUAAAGAAGUGUUUUCUGUUGGAGGUUUUGGUAAAAGUUCUUUGGAAUAGGACAUCAUAGAGGGUGAGAAUCCCGUAUUCGACCAUUUACUUUCAGCUGUGUGAUACACUUUCAAAGAGUCGGAUUGUUUGGGAAUGCAGUCCAAAAUGGGUGGUAAAUUUCAUCUAAAGCUAAAUAUUGGCGAGAGACCGAUAGCGAACAAGUACCGUGAGGGAAAGAUGAAAAGAACUUUGAAAAGAGAGUUAAACAGUACGUGAAAUUGUCAAAAGGGAAGCGUUUGACACCAGUGUUGUUUUCUCGAAAAUCAAUUAAAAAAGGCUAGGAUUUUGUGUUGUAUUGACCUUAAUCAGCUUCUGCACUCAAUUUUCUUGUCUUUUUUAAUGCACUUUUCGUUUAACAAGUCAACAUCAGUUUCUUUUGUUGUAAAAGGGUCAUUGGAAGGUGGCUUUCUUUUCGGAGAAAGUGUUUAUAGCCUUUGGCCUCUGCAAUCGGAGAGAUUGAGGUCUGCAGCGUAGAUCCUUCGGGGUUAGACUACAUUUGUGCUAAGUUAUAGCCUUUCAUAGACAACUUGUUGACUAUGAUCAGUCAUGUAGCUUACUCGCUUAUGCUAUUUUACCUACGCUUAGGAUGUUGAUGUGAUACUGCGAGCA